AUUGAACGCUGGCGGCAGGCCUAACACAUGCAAGUCGAGCGAGCGGCGGACGGGUGAGUAAUGUAUGGGGACUGCCCGAUAGAGGGGGAUAAAUACUGGAAACGGUAGCUAAUACCGCAUACUAUCGGAUAACCCAUAGGGGAUUAGCUAGUAGGUGGGGUAAUGGGUCACCUAGGCGACUAUCCCUAGCUGGUCUGAUAGGAUGAUCAGCCACACGGGGACUGAGACACGGCCCAGACUCCUACGGAGGCAGCAGUGUGGAAUAUUGCACAAUGGUCGCAAGCCUGAUGCAGCCAUGCCGCGUGUAAUACGAAGGCCCUAGGGUUGUAAAGUACUUUCAGUCGGGAGGCGUUACCGACAGAAGAAGCACCGGCUAACUCCGUGCCAGCAGCCGCGGUAAUUC
rnacentral:rRNA from 1 species